AACGAACGCUGGCGGCAUGCCUAGCACAUGCAAGUCGAACGAGACCUUCGGGUCUAGUGGCGCACGGGUGCGUAACGCGUGGGAAGUCCGCCCUUGGGUUCGGAAUAACUCGCCGAAAGGCGUGCUAAUACCGGAUGAUGUCGUAAGACCAAAGACUUAUCGCCCAGGGAUGAGCCCGCGUAAGAUUAGGUAGUUGGUGAGGUAGAGGCUCACCAAGCCGACGAUCUUUAGCUGGUCUGAGAGGAUGAUCAGCCACACUGGGACUGAGACACGGCCCAG
rnacentral:rRNA from 1 species